rnacentral:rRNA from 1 species
AUGAACAGCAGGGCAAGAGAAGAAAGAGGCAGCAACAGGAGGUUGGAGAAGGGAGAAGCAGCAGUAGGAAGAGAAGAAGAAGAUCAACAGCACGGGGGCGCUCACACGGAGGACCAGACGCCCGUGACCCUCUUGUCUGGUCGGGCGCGCAAGGUGCGACGGUGGCUGGAGAUGGUGGCGAUGGUGGAUGGAUUUGGUGGUGUGGUGGGUGGUGGAGAUGGCGCGGUGGAGCUGGUGGAGGCGUGGGGAGGAGCUGAUGACGCGCCACCACGCCGGCCUAGCCGUGGCGGCGGCCGGAGUAGGAGAAGGAGGGGUGAGGGAGAGAUUUGUGUGCCAGGCCCGAUUGCAAUGGAGAUGCGGCUAGGGAUUUUGAUCCCCUCCCAGAUCUGCAUUUUUGCACUUUUGCCCUCCUUCUUCUCUUCUUUAGCCUCAAGUAGAUCCCUUUCUUCUUUAGUUUUGGCCCUCCAUUUCUUUAAUUCUUCAUACUCGAGUCCCCCCUUCUCUUCUAUUGGCCCUCGGUCUUGUAUCCUCUUUCUUUGUAGACAAGAUCUUCAAGAUUAUAGUGCCUUAUCGCACUUUUCUGCAAAAUAA